AUCCCUUGACAUCCUGCGAACUUUCUAGCGAUAGAUUGGUGCCUUCGGGAACGCAGUGACAGGUGCUGCAUGGCUGUCGUCAGCUCGUGUCGUGAGAUGUUGGGUUAAGUCCCGCAACGAGCGCAACCCUUAUCAUUAGUUGCUAACAUUUAGUUGAGAACUCUAAUGAGACUGCCGGUGAUAAACCGGAGGAAGGCGGGGACGACGUCAAGUCAUCAUGGCCCUUAUGGGAUGGGCUACACACGUGCUACAAUGGGGGGUACAGAGUGUUGCGAUACCGCGAGGUGGAGCAAAUCUAUAAACCUAAUCUCAGUUCGGAUAGCAGUCUGCAACUCGACUGCUUGAAGCUGGAAUCACUAGUAAUCGUAAAUCAGCUAUGUUACGGUGAAUACGUUCCCGGGUCU
rnacentral:rRNA from 1 species